AGGCACGUAGCUCAGUUGGUUAGAGCACCACCUUGACAUGGUCGGGGUCGUUGGUUCGAAUCCAAUCGUGCCUACCA
rnacentral:tRNA from 1 species